rnacentral:rRNA from 1 species
GACAGAGGGUGCAAACGUUGUUCGGAAUUACUGGGCGUAAAGCGCGUGUAGGCGGCAUGACAAGUCGGGUGUGAAAGCCCUGGGCUCAACCCAGGAAGUGCACUCGAUACUGCCGUGCUAGAGUCCCGGAGAGGGUGGUGGAACUCUCGGUGUAGAGGUGAAAUUCGUAGAUAUCGAGAAGAACACCGGUGGCGAAGGCGGCCACCUGGACGGUGACUGACGCUGAGACGCGAAAGCGUGGGGAGCAAACAGG